CCCAACGGCCCAACCCCACUACAACAUGAUUUAAAAAUUAAAUUAUUUAAUGAAAAUCUUAAAUUAGUGUUACCAUUUGGUAAAAAACUUUAAAAGUCAAAUUUAAUAAACAUUAUCAACUUACUAUACGUGUCAAUACCAAGAGAGCCCAUCUUCCUUCAUUCUUUCCCCGGAAGCACCUGCCAGAACCAGAUCACAAUGAAGUUGUUGCAAGUCUUUGAUACUAAUUGGUUCAAUAAAGGUAAAAUGUCUUGGGAAUAAAAGAGAUUAACCUUCAAAUGUUGGUUACGAAGGAUCGGGCUUGUUACCAAUGCCGGUAGCAUAUUCAUUCGUACCACAUAUGCAAGUGCGCACGUGGUCCAUUGACCUUGUUAAUUUGGAAUUUAUAAUUAAUUAGCAGAGAAAUCCAUGAUUGAAGAAGCAACCAAAUCCAUCGUUUGGUCAAAUAAGAAUGUCCGCUUAAUUAGUAAUUUCUUUGCAGUUUCCUUCUCCCAGUGCAAAAGUCCAUAAACUCAAUUAAACAAAAUUGGUCUUUUGUUGAGGGUACAACAUCAACAAAAUUCACACAGAAGAAACAAAAAACAGUUCUUAAGUUGCCAUCAGACGAGAGAUUAGCUAUUGAAAACACAUUCUUGGAGUUGGAGGCCCACCUCCAAACAGAGGCCAUCUGUGAAAUGGACCACUGUUAUCAGUCUGGGGUACCAACUUGUGAGCCCGUUGCAUCACGAAACUCACAUUGAAAGAGACCAUCACAUGCUCAGCUGUGGCUCUGCUUAUUUAAACAAUUAAAUGAAAAAGAUCAACGCAUCCAAGUCUAUUAUAACAUUACUUCGUACCAAUUAAGGCCGUAAGAACGGUAUUAUAUUUGUUUCCCAGGUGUAAACCAUGAACUUCAAAAUUAGACUUGAAAUCAUAUACCAGGAUUUGGAUGCACAUUGCAGUAGCUCCAUCAAGAGGGGAAAAAAAAUUCAAAAAUCACGACCGUUUUUCCCCCAUAACACAAUAUCCAGCCUUUCGAUAUUCACAAGUUCUAAUAAUUGCAAUUAGUUGCUCUCAAAAUAUCUUUCCUUUAAAUAUGGGAGCAAGUACAAAGAUGAGCCAAAGCAGUAAAGGCCUUGUGCCAUCCAACUAUGCUUAUGUGCAAGGGUGCUCUGGCAGGGACCCAUACAAUGGCUGCUGAAAUCAUAAUCCUGCAAGCAGUUGGUCAUGUAGCUAUCACAAUGAAUUUCAUCAAUCCAACCAGUAAACACAACUUGAGGAACAUUUCAGCUCAAGUGGCUUGCAUCCACUAUAAUUUUGGAAUUGACAAAUCAUCAAUAGUGAUAAUUCAUCAACUACAAGAAGAUUAUCAGAUUUUGUCCUUAAGCGGCUAAAGUUCAUAGAUGCUACAUACAUGCUAGCAACAGUGCCUCGGCCACUGCUAUAUUUUGAUCCAUCGAAUGCAUAAUUUCUGUAGGAACUCUUCAGCAUUAUCAUUCCAAUUAAAGCCACCAUGAAGAUUUGAUUUCACCCAAUAAGGCAAUAACACACAAGACUAGACAAAACUUUAUCAAACUUUUGGAAACAAACUCAGGAAAAUCUAAAGGGUUAAAACAGAAAUGGUUAUACAUAAUUUCAGCUGUGCUCUUGAAAAUACAAUAAAAUGAGAAGGUUCCAAAAACAUUAGAUCAGCACAAAAGAUAGGAAACAAGUUCCAUCUGUAAAUUGACAGGGUAAAUGGUCCAAUCAUAUCAACCCCGCACACCUGUAUGGUACUCAAAACGGUGAACCAAACUUGGGACUCAGUACCAUGUGUAAGCAAGGCCCACCUGCUCUUUUCUAUUCUCAAUGAGAUCUUAUCUCUCAUCCAUUUCAUAAGGAAAAUGACAUGUGGUAUUGGAGAAAAUGAAAAAGAGAUGGGAAGUGUAAAUCUCACUCAUAAGAAAUACUAGGCUUACAACGUUGAGAUACAAAAUUUGUAUUAUAAAUGAAGCGCACUUGAUGUGUCAUUCAUUGACUGCUGCUCUAAAUCUAAAAUAUUAGAUUAAUGAUGGAGUAAAAGAGUCAGCUAUUUCCUAACAAGCAGCAGUCAAUGGUUGAUAACGCAUAUUUAGUUUGUGUUACAAAAGUCAGCUAUUUCCUAACAAGCAGCUGUCAAUGAUUGCUAAUGCAUAUUUAGUUUGUGUUACAACGUUAUAAGCACUAGCAUUUUAGUGAUUCCAUUCAACAAUUAAAGAUAAAAAUAUCAAAUUACAUAAAAUGUUCGAAUUUCUUAAUUUCCAAUCACUGUCAUCAUAAAUUGCCUUAUUUACAUUUCUAAUCAUAAGUAAUUAAAUGUUUAGCAUAACAUUCAAGCAAUAAUGUAAUUUAUUGACAAGAAAAAAAUGCAAAUCAUUCACCAUUGAAAUGUAUUCAGCAUCCCCCCCCCCCAAAAAAAAAAUGUCUAAGAUAAGCAGCUAGAACAGUGAAGCUGUUGACUGUUGAACUUUUUCUUCUGGUUGAGGACUACUAGCUUAAAAUCAUGACAUUCGACUAAUAUGGUACAUAGGAUAAAUCUAGGAAAAACACUUAGUAUUCACAUAAAGCUUAACAUCCUAUAACUAAAAUAUUUAGGGAAACAACUAGAACAUUUAAGUUUUCCAAUUUUCCUUCAUUGCUUUAGUUCUUCUGUUCAUUAAAGAAUGCCAAAGAAAAUAAGUGAGUCAUAUAAUAAACCAAGCUAAGGUAGAAAAUAAUUGAGUAAUAUAACAAACCAAGGUAAGAUAGGCCCUACAUGCUAAUAGAAAGCUCAGAGGAUCCUCAAACUAGAUAAAGCCUCCAGUCCUAGAAGCAUUCAGAGCCCUUGCACUUGCAUGAGAAGAUCAUACUUUCCAUUAGUAAUUCUCUUCGAAAUGACAGUGCGACUAAUAAACAAUUGUAGGUAAAGAACAGGAAAGAUCUUACAGUGGUGUCAGACAAAUACAUUUCAGGUAUAAAGAUUACCUUCAAAUCUCCAAACAAGGCAUCCCACAAAACAGUAAAAUUCUUGGUAAUGCUCAAAAUAUCUAUGUUAACCUCAAACAGGAAUUUAUAUGCUUACACUCAGCCAAUCAAACUCCAGAUUUCAUUUGUGCUUACCCCACUCUGCCAGGCCACCUGACAAAGGUCAUCAACACUAAUGCAUCUAAACCGUUAGAACAAGUAAAAACUAAAAUAUUUGUAUUAUAUUAUGGUGUCCAACUACAGGCAACAAUUUAAGCUUGAAGAUGGUUUUCAGAUAUCUGGGUUUGGAGGCGAGCACAAGUUGGGUUAGUACUCAACCUAACCCCACCAUGGGCAAGUUGAGAAUUUUCUACCCGUACCAUCCCACCAAACCAAAGUAUCGGGUUGUGAAAAAUUAAAACUAACCUAUCCAAAUUAUUUUGCUCAACUCAAACCCACCUUGAACUGAUCCAAGUGGGUUGAUGGGGGUUGACUAGGUUGCCAAGUUUUUGUCUGCUAUCUGAUUUAAUAUUUCCAACAGAGAUGUACCUCAACAAGAUAUAUAUGGCCAAGAUCAAGUACAACCAGCAAGUUUGGUCAUGGAAGCUAAUUAGUAUGAAUGUACAUAAUCUGAGUUAGCAUUUAAACACUAAUAAUGAUUAAAUAACUCAAGUAACAGGUACUAUAGAGAAUUGACAAGUAAUUAGGAGUACACAGGUAAAAUGCUCUUUGGAACUUAAUCAACAAAAUGUUCCACACAAACUUCAUAAAAACAACAGACCUAUCCUUCUUUUAAAGCAAGUAUCUUUAAGGCAUAUAAAGAUAACAGAAUCCAGCAAAGAGGUAGAAUUGACAAUCAAAGAAGAAGCUUCCUCCACAAAACGUGACACACACAUAAGUCCAUUUUUGACAACUAAAAAGCCAGUGGUCCUUACCAGAACCAUUAAAGCACACGAAACAGCAGUGAAGCCUGGAGCAUAGAUCCCACAAGUCAAUAACUAGAGAAAGCCAUAUUUAACUGCCAUUGGCAUGACGAAUAUGUAAUCACCAAAUCAUUUGAUUAAUUCAAGAAAAUCUUGAUAACACCUGAGAACAAUAAAAUUAAACAUGACAACUCUAUCUUCUGCUCCUCUUAUUAUUAAUUCUUGUAUUGCUAGGAGCACAGUUCAGAAGCAGAUAGAUAAUAUGAAAGUUAUGUAUUUAAACAAUUACAAGUGAGACAGCCAGGAUAAAAAUGAUGAGCAAUCAAGAAUUAAAGAUACCAUACAGAGCCUAUUACAGAAAAUGGAAAUAAAUUGAAUACAACUUGAUGAAAUCAGCUUAUAUUAAAUUAAAAAAUAUAUACCCUCCAAUAAUAGGAUUGUUUGAGGGAAAUAAGAUCAUUAUUGCCAAAUUUGAGCCCUCUAAAACUAUGCUCAAUGUUCAUCAAACAAACUUACAAAUAUAAUUUAAACCAUCAAAAGAGGCUGAGUCAAGGUACUUUGCUCUUUAUUCUUGACAAACACAUACUCUAGAUGCUAUGAUAAUGAACAAUAAAAAAUACACUCAGUGUGUGUUAUGCACGUUUGAUGAAAUGAUCAACUAGAUUUAGCAUAAAAUGCAUCGUUUAUGGAACAUAAAUCCAAGAACAAAUGUGGCUUUAAAGUAUUCAUUUAAGUGACACAAACUUUAUUCUGUUAUGCACACAACCAGCAGCACCAUCAUUUAGAAUGCCAUCAUAUCAUCAAUAACCUUCUUUUAAUGAUUACCAAUUUCUGCAACCUUAAUUUAACGAAGGCAAUUUCAAGGAAAAUAACACUUUCCACAUGAUUUUCUGAUAUUGAAAACCAGAAAAAAAAUUACUAGAAAAAUUGUUGUAAUGACCAAUGAUAAAUGUUAUCAAACAAUGAUAGACAGCAACUGGGCCAGAGACAUGGUCAAUAAUAGUUCAUGAUUAGUUACAGUCAUGGAUCACUGUCGAUAUUGAUUGUGCCCAAAAAUGUUGUUGAUGAUUGUAAGGACAAAAUGUGGAAUCAAUAAUGUCACAGAUCAAUAAUAAUCACUAUUGAUGGUGGAUAUUAAUAAAAUUCACUAACAUUGACCAAAAUGAUGAUGAUUGAAUGGGAACAACAAUGACCACCAGCGGUUAUUUGGCAACUAUAAGAGUUUCUAAUACAAUUUCAAAAAUAGGUUGUAUAUUUGCAGAAAUCUGACUGGAAUUUAAGCAUUGAUAUUUCGUUGACUCUCAAAUAUUUAUUUCCCAUGUAGCACCAGAAAAAAACAAAAUAUAUUCUCUCAUGCAAAUCAGUUAGAGUGAAAUAAACAGAACAUUAAUUCUAUUUAUUUUACCAUUUCCCUUACCACCACUGCUGCCGCCACAGCCAACAUCACCAAAGCGCAAAACCAUUAGACUUCACUAAUCCUACAUCCCAGUUAUAAUCACUAACGUUUUAUGCCACUCAACCCAUUGGAACUCAAAAAAACUCAUCUACAAAGAAAAUCAAGAACAACACAAUUCCCAUCCAUGAUGCUUUAAUCCUAUAGUGGAGUUUCUCAUACAAAUGGUAGUUUUCUAACCAAUAAUUUUAUGAUUACAAGGCGAUUGAAAUCUAGAUAUUUCACAAGCUUCAACAUAUAUAUUUAGGAAAGUCUUGAAAAGGAGAAAAUUUCAGUCCCUAAUGCUAGGUUCUCCACUCAUAUCACACAAUAUCAAGUUCUAAAACUUUAAACGGUAAGUGGCAGAUAUGUACAAAAAAUAGCAAUUCAGCUGAAAAGCUACCAGUCAUUUUCUGAGAAGAUGCUCUCACACAGCUUAGGGAAUUGAAACCACAAACAAGUUUUCGACCUUAGGGAUUUAUCAAUAGUUUGUAACUAACCCCAAAAAGACAUUUGUUGAUGAGUGUUUUUAUAAAACUUAGCUUAAGAUCUAUUUCUGUUAUACUAGGAAAUCCUCUUGGUCUCACUAGCUGGUCAGUGAGUUUGGACCUCUCACCUCCUGGUUGGAAAUCAAGAGUAUUCCCCAUCGAGCCAACCUAAGAUUAAUAUGAAGAUCUACUACUGGCAUGUUCUUCAUUUUUCCUUGUAACCCCUCCAUUUUUGUUAACUUAACCAACUAUGUUCUGGAACUAUAACAUUAUAGACGAACCCAUACAAAAUGAGUUGCUAGAGUUGGAUUUUGGAAUGCACAUUGAUGUAGAAAAUCUUCUCAUCAGUCAGUUUCCCGUUUUGAAGAUAACGUGACAGAAGCCCACCAUCACAAUUACCGAAAUAUCAACUCUCAUCCUGAUUCUUUUGAAAAAGAACUCUAAGAAAUUUCUUUUAGUUGCUCAUUCUAGAAGGCACUUCAAAGUAUUGGUUCCGAGCAUCACACAUACAAUCAUACUCAAUUCGAUGGAAGGUAAUUUCUAACUAUAAUUCCGUAGCUCCUAAUUGUAAAACCCAUGUCGAUGAAGGAUACCCUAUUCCCACAUAUCUCACACACAGGUAAUGGGUUUCAUGCUCUCCAAACUCUCCAGAAACAUUUCCUGAUUGGUGUCUGCAAAAAUAAUGAAUCACAAACCAGAUACAAUCAUUUCCUAAAUAAAAUUGGUGUCUCCCCUCAUUCUAAUCAUAAGUAAUUAAAUGUUUAGCAUAACCAGAUACAAUUUCCAAUUUCCUGAUUGGUGUCUCCCCUCAUUCUCAACCGUAACCGCAACCAUUUCCUAAAUAAUUCAUGGUGGAAUAUGAAUGCCAAUCCAGGAAAUACAAUCAAGCAAGAAAGUACAUUCCAAGUCCACCUUCUAUCGUUUACCUACACUCAAGAGACCAAUUAAGUGUCAUUUGUCUUGUGGAUCCACAUACCGUGCGCUUCUUGCUAACAAAUAAGGAGCUGUGAUCCUAGGUCCCCAACUCAGGGCAGGUAGAACUUCUAAAAACCUGAACUUUUUUAUUUCACUAGUCCACAGAUUUCAUGUAUACAUUCCCUAGAUCCAAAAAUGAACUAAUCAUUAGUUUUCAAUUCAGGCACAUAACAAAAUAUUGAAUGGAAGAAAACAUUAAAGGAAUGAACUUUGUAGGGCACAUGAUAUAGGUUAUAAAGAGAAU
rnacentral:lncRNA from 1 species